GCCCUGGAGGACUAGUGGUUAGGCCUCAGUGCUAUCACCGCCAUGGCCAGGGUUUGAUUCCUGGCCAGGGAA